AUCUCUUUCUAAGAAAAUCAAAAGGAUUAAGGCUAACAUAGAAGGGUAAAGUAAGUCUCCAUAAAACCCAGAGAACAGAUUGUAAAAAUUCUGUCUGGAGUCACAGCU